GUGGGGAAUCUUGCGCAAUGGGCGAAAGCCUGACGCAGCCAUGCCGCGUGAAUGAUGAAGGUCUUAGGAUUGUAAAAUUCUUUCACCGGGGACGAUAAUGACGUUACCCGGAGAAGAAGCCCCGGCUAACUUCGUGCCAGCAGCCGCGGUAAUACGAAGGGGGCUAGCGUUGCUCGGAAUUACUGGGCGUAAAGGGCGCGUAGGCGGACAGUUUAGUCAGAGGUGAAAGCCCAGGGCUAAACCUUGGAAUUGCCUUUGAUACUGGCUGUCAUGAGUACGGGGGAGGUGAGUGGAACUCCGGGUGUAGGGGUGAAAUUCGUAGAUAUUCGGAAGAACACCAGUGGCGAAGGCGACUCACUGGCCCGUUACUGACGCUGAGGCGCGAAAGCGUGGGGAGCAAACAGGAUUAGAAACCCCUGUAGUCC
rnacentral:rRNA from 1 species